rnacentral:tRNA from 1 species
GCCAGCGUGGUGAAAUUGGUAGACACGACGGAUUCAAAAUCCGUUGGGGUAAAACCCGUGGCGGUUCAAGUCCGCCCGCUGGUACCA